CACUUCCAUCAUGGACAGCACUGGACUUGCUCUGGUUUGUUCAGUUCCUUUCUCCUUCAGGGCACUCCUCCGGGGCAAGCACCACGUCCCUAAAGGCCCCAGCACAGUCUGGAGAGAGGACGGAGCCAAGUGUCUCCAUAUCAAAGGAACAAAUGUUUAGCCUCCCUCACGACCCUGGAGAAGCGGACGAGACUAGACUCCAAUUUACCGACGGACGAAAGAGCACAUGGCGGAGAAAGGACGCGCCCCAGGUCAAACCACUGGCUGGCAAGGGACGGAGUUGGGGUCCGACCCCAAACCUCCGUGACCCGCAGCUCGGGCCACACUGGACGCUGGUCAAAGGGAAGGCUGACACAGGCCUCGCAGAACAGGCUCCGGGCCCCCAGUUACCACGAUGCCUCGAAGCCAUGCCUGACCCUGCUCCCCGCAUCUGCCCUGGUUACCCCUCGAGGCCCUGGGCUCAGCCUCCUGGACUGGAGCUACCAAGCUGACCCCUCGGCCCUACUCCUCACAGAAGACCGGGCUUUGUCUCCACGGGACAAUUAGCAGCUACCGUGGGCAGCAGACAGGAUCAAAAUGAGAGGCCAGGACGAACCCCAGUUCCUGCUGUGUGACUACCUAACGGGUCACUGGCUACACAGAGCCUCAAUGUCCUCUUUGGGAAAAAAAAAAAA